CUAAUCUGUGUGUGCUGUAGUGACCAGCGGCUCCUAACGUGUCUGUGUGAUGACCAGUUGUCCUCCAAAAACCUCACUCACCACGGAGUCACCCUGAGGGCCCCGGGCAGUUGCCCCGGCCGCCCAGUGACGCCCACCGGCUCCCUCCAUUCCCUCCUGUCACCUCCCAGGGCAGACCCCACUAAGCCGUUGAGUCCCUUCCUGGAAGACCCUGGGGGCCUAUAGCUUUGGCUAGGACUCUCCAGGGUCGCUGACCCUCCCUGGCCUGGGGCUGCCAGGACCAAGUUCCUCUCUGCAGGAUCUCACAGCAGCCCUGAGAAGACGUGGAAGGAAGAAGCCAGCUGCCCCGGAGUGAACCCUGCCCUUUGGACGCCCCAUGGACUUCUCACCCAGUCGCCUGGAAGUCGGGGAGCAGCACCCCUGCCCCCGGCGGAGGGGCUGUUGCUUUCUGGGGAGGAGGACGGUUGAUGGCCCUGCUUGGAUCCACCACCAGGACACUGUGCUCGGCCUUGGCGCGCCUCCCCCAAGGGCUCAUCUGCGCAACAACCACAUGCCAACGAUAACUCCAGGUGCCUCAGCCCGUGCCCUGACCCAGGGACCACAGGGACACCCUCUGAGACGUGCUGGCCCCGGGAGGAUACAGGCACACGGGCACCUAGCCCCUCUCGCAGCCAGGCGUGUCUUGACGGUGUCUGCUAACAGGAACAAGUCAUUCUGCAAGGUCCCUCUGACCCAGGUCACCAAAUUUGGGCCAGAACUGGCAUUUCUCCUGAGUACCCACUGGUGCUGGCGUCCUCACAGUGCUGGGCGCCAAGUUCAGCCCCAGGCGCGUUUGCCUAAGCAGUGGUGGCUGCCAUCCCUCAGGGCCCGGGCCCUCACGUGAAGGGCUGCCUCGCUCUGUGCUGUCAGGCAUUGGACUGUGUCCUGAUUCCUCAGAGUAUGGGGACCUGAUAUCUUUGGGUCCCCAAGAGUUGGCUCUUGGAUGUGGGGGCUUGAUGCUGCGGUUGGCGGCUGCAGUAUCUGGGUCCAUGGAAGCCACUGCCUCAGCAGGGACAGCCUCUCCCGCUGCGGGCCCUGGGCAGCCCACAGUAGUGCUAGCUGAGGCCCAGAAGAACAGGAGGAAAGGGAGGUAGCGCCGGACAGUGCAGCUGGCCAAGAGGCGGGCGGGGCCGGAAAUACCUCAUGCCCCUGCACCAGCCCCUCCGUCUCCAGGCCCCAGGCCCCUGUGUGGACCCAUCUUCCUCCUCUGCCACCCCGAUCUUCACUCGGAUACCUCUUGAUUUCUGUGGAUUAGGGAAGCAGCCACUUCUCCCUCCCUGAGACCCGAGGACGCCCGUGGUGGGGGUGGCCUUCUCAGGCCUCCUGGGUAGCACAGCAGCAGGACCUCGUCACAGGACUGAUGCUGAGCGGGGAGGGGGCUGCCAGGCUGGCCGCCGAUGCUCCGUUCACAUAAGCCAGUGUGGUUCUGGGGACCUGAGGAGCCCCGUGGCACCCACGGGGGGCACCUAUGUCCGCCGUGGCUCCUCGGCACCUAUGUAUGGUGGCCCGUGUGACCAAGGCCAACAACAAGGGUGACUUCCGGCAGGCAGGGGCGGCAGGAGGGCAGAGGGCAGAGCUCUGGCCACUUCUGCCCACUUCAUUAGGGUUUGUGAACUUUGUCCUUCGACCUCUUUUCAUGCCCUGGUUGUGAGAUCGCCUCUGACAGAUAAUGCCAGGGGCCCUUCACUCCACUCCCGUGACUGGGAAAAGGCCUGUGGCAGCUCUGCUGGACCCUAGGAGGCUCAGAGGCAGUGGUGUGGGAGCCCUGUCUGCAAGGACGCGGAACAAGCAGUGAGGGCGGCUGCAGGAGGGGAAGGGGCUCCCACAGCCCCCGCUGACACCCCUGCAGGCCUCUCUCGAGCUGGGGUCCCAGCCAGGUGCCCCCACAUGCCCUCCUGCAGUUGCUGGAUGGACAGGGCCUCCAGGCCACCAGGAAGAGGACAAACUCCGUGGACUCGGGCGAGCUGGAGCCAUCUUCUCCAUAGCAUUACGGACUUAGCAUAAGAGUAAAUGACUGUGAACGUUGUAGUAAACGGCAGCUUCAGAUAAGUAAGCAGUGACAGUGUUAAGGACAAGUUGGUGUCUGUGGUAGGUUUUAGGCUGCUCCUAACCCACCAUUUAUUGCCUUCUGAGAGGUGGGUGAGGACAAGCGUGUGCCUGUGUGUGUGUGUGUGUGUGUGUGAGCACGUGUGCGUGUAAGCCCACCUGAGUGGGGCUGGUGCGGGAAAACUGAGGCAUGGAACUCUGGCUCAUACCUAGGAAUUGAGAGCUUUUCUGUCUUUUGGGAGAGUACUUUUCUCCACGAGCCCUCUGGCCGCUGUGGGAGGGAAGGACAAGGCUUUCCUUGGAAAUGGGAAGGGUCUUGGCCUCAUCCCUCAGGUCCCCCCCACAGCACUUCCCACCACUGCUGCUGUCCCUGCCGGCAGCCUCUGUCCCUCCAGAAUGGCUAACCAGAGCACACCGUCCCCACCACCUCCCCUUUCUCUCUGGAAAGUUGAAGAGUCUUUCCAGAGGCCUUGGAAAUGGCACAAAGGUGAUCAGGAGCAGGUGCUUUGCUGCAGGCUCCCUUGCAAAUGUAUAAUUAAGGCCUUUCUUCCCACCCCAAGUCCAAGAACAAAUGCCAGCCAUGUCCUCCGCCACUUGGAGAGAUGAGAACCCAGUGGGGUCGUGUAAAGGAAUUGGAGGUCAGUGGGAGAACGAGGGACUCCCGUGUUCUAAGCAUCUGCUCCCGGCCAGGCUCUCUAAGCACAUUUCUCCUUUCAUUCCCCCUAAAAACAGAGUGACCUGGAAGUAGAUGUUCUUUGCUCCUUGUUAGAGUUGAAGAGGCUGAGGCCUGACCGGCUGCUAAGCGGCAGAGGCGGGGGUCGGCCCCCAGCCCCCGGGCCAGCCAUCUCGUCGCAGGCCUGUGCUGGGGAUGCUCUUUCUGUUUCCAGUCCUGUCACGGACUUCCCAGCCGCCACUGGGCCCUGCCGGUCACCAGGCCACUGUGCAGUGGGUGCUGAGCACAGUCAGGAGUGGCCUACCCGCACUCCUCCACCAAGAUGAGGGCCCUCCAGAGCCUACAGGCGUCUGUGGGGAAUCCCAGCCUGCAGCUUCUCAGAGGACUGGGUGGGCCUGAGGAUGAAGGCAAAGGAGGGCCUUGAGGAAGCAGCCCCCGGGCCUGGCAGCCACGCAGCGGCUGAGCUCAUGAACUCGGUUCGCGGCCUGCCUUGUCCCCAGAGGCCACACCAGGCACUCACCCCUGAGCCCACAGCCCCUGCUUGGGGACCCUCAGGACAGCCCACUCUCCUCCUGCCACUCUGAGCACAUGUCCGGGGGUUGCCACCAGAGACGGCUUUGUUUUCCCAGCCAAGGCCGUGGAGCUGCUGUGUGACUGUGUCAGGCCUGGACAAGGCCCUUAGGGAUGACGUCCCCGCUGCAUAUUUAUUCAAGGUGACUCUUGUACUUGGCAAGGGAAGUCCACUGUGUGAUUGUCUGUAUUCUUAAUAUAAUUUGUUAAAUAAACGUUUGUUUUAACCUCUUU